rnacentral:misc_RNA from 1 species
GUAAAAAGAGGUAGACAAUAUGGGUAAACAUAAGUGUCUUUUCUAGUUUUCUAGUGGAAAAUGAAAACCAAAAGAAAAGAAACUUGUUUCUAUGACUAGAAAGCAACACAGGUAACAAUAGUUAAUUCUUCAAAGUUAUGCAAUUUUGUGAUUAUUAGGCACUUUUGGUACACAAUUAAGUCCAAAAAUUUUUUUUGAGAUUCACUUAUCAUCAAAUUGAUUAUGAGACAGGGCUUGUUAAUUGGCAUCGUUAUGGCGUUCCAUUAAUGGUUCUUUUAAAGGGCUUUCUUUAGCCAACAAGCAAGGGAAUUGGGAGCUCUUUUAUACUAUUCUACAAUUCUUUUUU